UUAGAGUUUGAUCCUGGCUCAGGAUGAACGCUAGCGGCAGGCUUAACACAUGCAAGUCGAGGGGCAGCGGGUGUAGCAAUACAUGCCGGCGACCGGCGCAAGGGUGCGUAACGCGUGAGCAAUCUGCCCGUAUCAGGGGGAUAAGCGAUGGAAACGUCGUCUAAUACCGCAUAACACCAAUGAUGGCAUCAUCGAUGGUUGAAAGCUUCGGUGGAUACGGAUGAGCUCGCGAGACAUUAGUUAGUUGGCGGGGUAACGGCCCACCAAGACCGCGAUGUCUAGGGGAACUGAGAGGUUGGUCCCCCACACUGGAACUGAGACACGGUCCAGACUCCUACGGGAGGCAGCAGUGAGGAAUAUUGGACAAUGGCCGGAAGGCUGAUCCAGCCAUGCCGCGUGAAGGAAUAAGGUCCUAUGGAUUGUAAACUUCUUUUGUACGAGAGCAAUAAGUGUCACGAGUGACACGAUGAGAGUAUCGUACGAAUAAGCAUCGGCUAACUCCGUGCCAGCAGCCGCGGUAAUACGGAGGAUGCGAGCGUUAUCCGGAUUUAUUGGGUUUAAAGGGUGCGUAGGCGGGAUUUUAAGUCAGCGGUGAAACGCAAGGGCUCAACCCUUGACCUGCCGUUGAAACUGGAGUUCUUGAAUGCGGAUGCUGUGGGAGGAAUGUGUGGUGUAGCGGUGAAAUGCAUAGAUAUCACACAGAACACCGAUUGCGAAGGCAUCGUCACAAAUCCCGUGAAGGACCGGUGAGGCCCGCAAAGAGUGGGGAUCAAACAGGAUUAGAUACCGCGGGUAGGUCCACCCUGUAAACGAAGAUAACUCGCUGUGGGCGAUACACAGUCGGGUGAGCCAAGCGAAAAGCGAUAAGUUUAUCCACCUGGGGAGUACGACCGCAAGGUUGAAACUCAAAGGAAUUGACGGGGGCCCGCACAAGCGGAGGAAACAUGUGGUUUAAUUCGAUGAUACGCGAGGAACCUUACCCGGGCUCGAACGGCAAGUGAACGACACAGAGAUGUGAAGGUCCUUCGGGACACUUGUCGAGGUGCUGCAUGGUUGUCGUCAGCUCGUGCCGUGAGGUGUCGGCUUAAGUGCCAUAACGAGCGCAACCCUUGCCAUUAGUUACCAGCAUGUAAUGAUGGGGACUCUAGUGGGACUGCCACCGUAAGGUGUGAGGAGGGGGGGGAUGACGUCAAAUCAGCACGGCCCUUACGUCCGGGGCGACACACGUGUUACAAUGGUGGGUACAGAGGGCAGCUACCUGGUGACAGGAUGCAAAUCUCGAAAACCCAUCUCAGUUCGGAUCGGAGUCUGCAACUCGACUCCGUGAAGUUGGAUUCGCUAGUAAUCGCGCAUCAGCCAUGGCGCGGUGAAUACGUUCCCGGGCC
rnacentral:rRNA from 1 species